rnacentral:tmRNA from 1 species
GGGGCUGACUGGAUUUGACAGCAAGAUGCGUUGGAUAGUAAGCAUGUCGAGCAUUGUAUUUUGGCUCGUAAAUAUCAAGAUUCAAAUUUUUAAUUGGCGAUCAAACUUUCGCUUUAGCUGCCUAAUUUAUAUAAUUAGAUAAGCUUUUGUCUCUAUCAAAGGACCUCCUAACGCCUUUGGUUUUUGAGGCAUCAUUAAUGUUAGGAUAGUUUGCAAACGGCUUCUGUUUGUAGGCAAAAUUUUAGAAGCUAAGGAUUGGUUUUGGUUGCUUAUUCCCUACCCUUUCUCGAAAAGUAAAAUAAGAUAA